GUUUGUUAUUUCUUUGUGAGAUGUUUUGAAGAAAUUUUGAGUUUUUAGAUUUUUUUUUCAAGAGGUGUUGGACCAAAGAAUGGGGAGCUGCAAGCAAGUGGAAAAUUGCUCUUUGUGUUCCAAGGAGCAGAUGGGGGCCUGGGAGUUUCACUUUGGCUGAUGGACUGCACUAAACCUGCCCUGCUUCUGGUGCUGUCACAUGAGCAAGGAGUGGAGCCUUCAAGUGCCUUGUGUGCAUGCAGAGGAGACGGAUGCAUCCGGCGCUGUGACUGCUCCAAGGACCUCUUCAGAUCCUCGAGUGUGAGCCUGAGUGGAGCUUGAGCAAGCUGUGUGCUUAUGCAAUUAAAACCAAGCUGUGCUGCUUCUUGAGCACUCACAGCACUCCAUAGGGCACACAGAGCUCAGGGACUGCUGUGUGGGCAUCUCUGUAAACCCCAAAUGGAGGGAAAUUGGCCCCCGUGCUGCAGGAAGGAGGCUGUGGGUUUCUGUCUCUGGCUGUGCAACCACAAGCUCAGAUUCUGAGCAGUGACUGCACUUUCCAGCAGCACCUGUGCUUGUUUUGCUCAUGGUGUUGCUUAUUUUUAUGGAUCAGGAGUUUGCAAUUGAUUUCAAAAAUACCAACAAUACAUUUUGAGCCCAUGAGAUCAGGAGUGGAUGUGUGCUUUCAAGAAAGCACUGAAGAAAAAAAUGCUUUAAAAGCAAUAUUAAUUCUGUAAUUGCUGUGGAGGAUAGACACAGCAAGGCACUGUUUUUUCACUGAGUGAAACAGAAUAAUGAGGAAUCAAAACUUCUAUAUCCUCUUCCAUGUUUUCCACUAUCUUCUAUUUGGAGGCAAACAAGUGCCUUCCUUCCCUUCUUCAGCCUCCUACAGGAAAGGCAAAGCUGUAACUGGGAAUAGAGCUGUCUUGUGGCUUUAAGACUUUGUGAUAAUGGAAUGUCUUGAUGAAUGCUCCUAUGGAGAUGUAAAAUGAUUAAUCUACAGGCAUCUGAGAACACUUAUGAUCUAUCUUUUGGUCUUGUAUCUGUUAUUUCACUUUUGGGGCUGUUAAUAAUCUCAUAACGCACAUCAGGCCAUAUCUUAAUGAUUAAAAAAUGAUUAAAAAAGGUCUGUUUUA